UUCCUGCUUCUGUGUGCCACAUUUCCAUCUCCUGAUCUCUCUUGCUGUGGGGCAAUUUGUGUUGGAGCCUGCCUACUUGGGAGGAAACAAGGACUUUUUUUUGUGGGGAAGAGAUUUAUGUUUAUUUUUGAAUGGACAUUUACAAAAUACAAAAAACUGUGGAACAAACAUUUCUGUUGUUAGUGUUGUGUGUAAAACAAUUGUCAUUCAUUGUACUUAAGGGUCUACACCUUGAAGUGUAUGGUCCUUGUGUGACUGGUAAAAA